GAAAGACACGACAAUAACAAAUCUACUGCAGUAACCUGGCGACACACUGUGCAGCAAGGCUUGCCCCAGGCUGUUCAAACAGCGUUGGAGGGAGUAGUGGGACUGGACGACAUGGAUGAAAUCACAUGGAGAGACCAUCUAACCCACUUCUACAAAAUACAGAGAGCUGCGGAGACAAGGAGGCAAGAAGAACUGAGGACGAUGACGCAUCGACUCCUGGAGAUCCAACUGGCAGCAGCAGAUGCAGAAGCAACGAAAAAACAGAGAGUCAGGAAACAACUGUCGGUGAGAGAUGAACAACCUCAAUACCCCGUUCCUCCAGAGGCCCAAUAUCCAGCCCCAGCAGUCAGAGACCGUUCAAUGGUUGACCAGCAACCACCACCUCAGCGCAGAGGCAGAGGACGUGGAAAUAAUAGGGGAAGAGGAGAUGAAUGCUACUUAUGCGGACAGAUGGGUCAUUGGUCAAGAAUAUGUCCAACGAACAUGCAGUUCAGUGCAGCUCCUCCACGGUCUUCCCGUCAAAUGCAGCCCCGGCAGGACCAGAGGGUCUAUCUCACCUCCACCCCCUCAUGCAAACCCCACAGCAGACGAGGCCCUAAAACAACUAACUGGUGACACACCGACCCCCGCUGCUUUCCAACAGCUCAGAUAAGCACCCUCAGUCUCUACGGUGUACGACUCACAUUCCAGGUAGAAAAGGGAGACUGGAGAUUACAGACGGCUGAGAGUGUCAGCUCAAACUAGACUUAAACCCGUAGGGAAGAUUGAUUUUAAAAAGGGGAAAUCAGUCAUUGAAAUUAAGAGAUAAGGUUGUGUAAGAUUUAAAUGAGGAAUGAAGGUGAUAAGGAAUUAGGAGAGUUGUUGUAUAUAUUGUCGAUUUUUUGGAUUAAUGUUUGUAGUUUUUUGAGUUUUCUCCUGAAUUCAGAGAUGGGCGGUAAAUUGUUGAGUGCUGUUAUUGAGUGUAUAGUGCACGAUACACUUGAUACAGUAUCUUGAUGAUUGAAGCAAAUGUCUGAUCAAAGGAACAUUUAUAGCACCAGAUCACGAAAUAUGGAAAUUUGUUACCGACGGUCAUCCUGUAAUGUUCAACAAGUAGUACACCCUUACAUUUGGAUACGCUAACCAUGAGAGGUUGGUGAUCUAUCAUUAAUGAAUGAAUGGAUUGGAUCAAACUCAGCACGUGCUUUUGGGCUGAAGAGCAAUAAAAGUGGAGAUUAACACUGGAGGGGGGUCUGGAACAGAUGGGUCUGAUGCUAAGUUGAUUUAUUAUCUCCUGGUACUAUUUGGGAUCAAGGGACUCACAAUCUUCAUUGUUGUUUUAUGACCCUGAAGGGUUUGGAGAACCUUUUGUUUAUAUUACAGGGGUUUGAGGAUCACAUUCUGAUACAUUGAUUGAAGUUUUAGAGACUGAUACUGCAAAUGCUCGACCACUUGUGAAAGUGGUCGCAAAGGUCAGCAAAUUGACAGUAAUGAUGGAGGCCUUCAGUGAGGCCAUCGAAUGGUUUAUUUUAAUGGGGAAGUGGUAAAAAUGGGAAAACAGGUUGAAGAGUUAUGCAGUAAUGCAUAGGUUUUCAAAGGUGAUGACUCAUCAUGACAGAGCAAACAGGCUGAAGGUAAAAGGAGAAGAAAUUGACUGUGAGGGUGAGAAUGAGAGGUAACAUUUUUGUGUAAACUUGGUAUGAGCAGAUUGCUUUGAGGUUAGACUGAACAAAGAGAACUUGGUUGGUCAAUUAGUUCAUGAAGACAUGGAACAGUCAUACACCAUGAGGGUGAGACCUACAAGCAAAACCUCAAAGGGAUCAUUGAACGGGGACACGAAGGCAAUGUUGGUGUUAAUUUUUCAUGAGUUGACUAUGGGGGUCAAUAAUCAGUUAUGUCGAAGAUUCCAAAUUUCUAUAAAUAAAUGGCUCCUCAAAUCGGUUGGAAACAAGGCCGUUUGAGAAAGGCAAUUUUCCAAAACAAUGUGUAAAUACUUUAGGAGCAGAUAAAGAUAUGCAGAGGCAUUCUUUACGUCAACGCAUCACAUUCUUCAUUCAGCUGAGGCUCUAAUCCAAAGUGACUUGCAGGAAGUGAAUUUGAACAAGAGGGAACAGAACCAGAACAGCAAGAACAAAGAAGAGAUUUCUCCUUCUAAGAAAGCAACAUUUGUGAACAUCAGGAGUCAGGACAAAUGAUGACUUUGUUGGGAGUUUAGCUCCCAGUAGGAGAAACAAUAGGCAGAUGCUGAGAUGGGAGUGAAUUAGGGACGAGGAUAGAUUUCAAAGGGGAUGCAGAGGUUGAAAGGUGAUGGCGACUCAUGGUCGAGGAGGGAGUGAGCAGACCUCCCUAAACCAACGACUGAUAAGAGGAGGAAUCCUGGGGAAGUGUCGGAGCCAUAAAAUCCAUCCACAGGUUGUAUUUCAUCUCAGAGUCACCCAACAGGUUUAAGAAUCACACACGGUUGGUAUGGGGGGAAUUAUUUCACUAUGAUAAAUUUACUGACACAUUUUUCCUCGAAUACAUGUGCAUGGCAAUUGUUAACUAUGUUUUGCUUUUCAGUAGGAGCAGGCGACUCCAAUGCGAGACGGUCCAGAUCGGCAACGACACCCAGUAGAAACGGCGUUGUGGGGGUUUUACGACGUUGUUGGAUAAGCCAGGAGGUGGCCUGGGGGUGAUUAGCAUCACCAAAGGCUAUGUGAAGGGAUGCUUUUACACCUACCUCAACAUGAGGGACUGGGGGAGAACAGAAUACAACUAGAGUAUCUGCCGAUUUGGGAACAUUAUUGUAUGCAGUGAAAAACACAAUCAUAAGAUUCUAAACAACAGAGUUGUGUAGAUGACAUUGAUUUAAGGUGUUAAGAAGAACAUACAGUCGUUCUAUCAAUGAAACAACUCACAAAUUGAUUAGAAUGUUUUUAGGAAAACACUAGAUGUUAGAGUUUAGCUACUCAAGUGGCAUUUUACGGAUAACAGCAGACGAUGGCCAACGCAGGAAGAUCCAACCUGAACUUUUCUUCCUGGAACGAAUGUGUAAUGACAUUGCUCUUCUCAUACACAGGCACAAGGACUGAUGAGACACACAGAUGAUACAAUUACUCCACAUUAAAAGAAAUAGCUAAAACUGGGAAAUAAGUGGGUAAAAGGUUGAGUUCCAGUUAUGUUUAAAUAUGCACACACUAGAUGGUAGAACUUGUUUGCUUGAAGAGUUUGGUAAACCAGAAGAAAGAGCAACAGGAAUUGGGAGAGCACACACACACACACACACUCACACGCACAUCUAGACACACCUACACACACACGCACACACAUAGCUGCACCACUUGUGCUUCUCUAUUCAACAGCCGAUUGGGGAAUCUUGUCCUAAUGGGACCUCCGGUUAGCAGAGCAGUCUGCUCACAGGAACUGAGGUGAUCCGAGGUCCAAGGAGGGAGCGUGAAGCUUAAUCACACGUCUAGGAUGACAGCUACGUGUCAUCUGACCAAACCGCUGGCAACAACAGAUGUUCCAGCAGAGGAACAUCAAGGAGGAGAAGUAUAGGCACACACAUACAACGAAGGAAUCCACAAACACUGAGCUAAUGUGACACACAAUUUCCAGAUUAGAGAAGGAACGGGAACUGCUGGGACACUUGAUAAACACAUAUGAUAAGAAUGUUCAAACAAACAUACGCCAACGAUAUUACAGUAACAGAACUUGAGGAUUUUGAAUUCAGAGCGGCUAUUCGGUUGCAAUGACCAAGCAUCACCAAGAUAAAACUAAGCAGCAUUAGACACAUUCACGGGGGAACAUUUGGACAGAAGGAGGGGAGAGCGGUUUUGGCUUAUCACAGUUCUAAAU
ensembl:lncRNA